CUGUGCUAGACGGGGAGGUAGCGGUGCCUUGUAACCUGCAAUCCGCUAUAGCAGGGUUGAAAUCCAUCUAGAGGACUAAGAGCUGUAGAGCUGCCCUGGAUAAGUGGCGAUGAUAUUCGGGUCCUGCGCAAUGGAAGCUCACAAACCCCGCCAGGUCCGGAAGGAAGCAACGGUAAGUGACAACUUCCAUGUGCCGCAGGGGUGCCUGAAUUGAGCUAACUGUCUAGGUAACGUUUAUGGCCUUAGUUCGAAGGAUGGUGCACAG
rfam:[Clostridium] thermoalcaliphilum strain DSM 7309 CLOTH_contig000013, whole genome shotgun sequence.